GACGAACGCUGGCGGCGUGCUUAACACAUGCAAGUCGAACGGAAAGGCCUCUUUCGGGGGGUACUCGAGUGGCGAACGGGUGAGUAACACGUGAGUAACCUGCCCUUGACUUUGGGAUAACUUCAGGAAACUGGGGCUAAUACCGGAUAGGAGCUCCUGCUGCAUGGUGGGGGUUGGAAAGUUUCGGCGGUUGGGGAUGGACUCGCGGCUUAUCAGCUUGUUGGUGGGGUAGUGGCUUACCAAGGCUUUGACGGGUUGCCGGCCUGAGAGGGUGACCGGCCACAUUGGGACUGAGAUACGGCCCAGACUCCUACGGGAGGCAGCAGUGGGGAAUAUUGCACAAUGGGUGGAAGCCUGAUGCAGCAACGCCGUGUGCGGGAUGACGGCCUUCGGGUUGUAAACCGCUUUCGCUCAUGACGAAGCUUUGUGUGACGGUAGUGGGGAAAGAAGCACCGGCUAACUACGU
rnacentral:rRNA from 1 species